UAUAUUCUUUGCUCUAUACCAUAACAUUUUAGACACUAAUCCUAGUCGGAACUAAUACUUUGACUUGUUUAUUUGUUAUUUUUGGCCUCAUCUUGUGUGCUCCAGUUUGUUUCCGCCAUGUUACAACUUGGGGACAUUCAGCCCUUUUCUUGGAUCACUUUACUACCUUGACCGGCUUCCGUUUGGAAAGAUCGGAUGAGAGUGUUUGGGAGCAGCCACUUUUACUGAUGAUUUCGCAAUUCAAUCCAGCUUUAACUUCAAGUUAAUAUACAGGAGGACGUCAGCUCCCAGUUAUUGAACGCAAAAUUGUUGCCCGUUUAUCAUUUUAGACUUCCUAUCAACAAACAUUUGUAAGCUAUUUCUGCCUUUUCCGGAUUUUCGAGUAAAUGGAGUCGUCUUUUAAAAAUAUCUCAAAUGGUAGCAUGGCUCUGCCUACCCUUUGAUAUAAUUUUUAAGGAAGACUUGUAUUUACUUAUUGAUCUCUUUCCUUUUUACUCCAUUGGACACUGACUGAUUAAUAUGUAUAUUUUUCUAAAUUUAUAGUAUUAUAUCAAACUUUUAGAUUUUUCUAAA